rnacentral:rRNA from 1 species
GAUAUAUAGAGGUGAUACGUUACUUUAUAUUAAAAAGAAGCCUUUAAAGCUUCACUUAAAGAUGAGCCUGCGGCGUAUUAGCUAGUUGGUAAGGUAAUGGCUUACCAAGGCGACGAUGCGUAGCCGAACUGAGAGGUUGAUCGGCCACAUUGGGACUGAGACACGGCCCAAACUCCUAUGGGAGACAGCAGUUAGGAAUAUUCGUCAAUGGGGGAAACCCUGAACGAGCAAUGCCGCGUGAGUGAUGACGGUCCUUUGGAUUGUAAAACUCUUUUAUUAGGGACGAACGACUAGUAUAGGAAAUGAUACUAGAGUGACGGUACCUUUUGAAUAAGCCCCGGCUAACUACGUG